AUGAACGCUGGCGGCGUGCUUAACACAUGCAAGUCGAACGGUGAACACGGAGCUUGCUCUGUGGGAUCAGUGGCGAACGGGUGAGUAACACGUGAGCAACCUGCCCCUGACUCUGGGAUAAGCGCUGGAAACGGCGUCUAAUACUGGAUAUGUGACGUGACCGCAUGGUCUGCGUCUGGAAAGAUUUUUCGGUUGGGGAUGGGCUCGCGGCCUAUCAGCUUGUUGGUGAGGUAAUGGCUCACCAAGGCGUCGACGGGUAGCCGGCCUGAGAGGGUGACCGGCCACACUGGGACUGAGACACGGCCCAGACUCCUACGGGAGGCAGCAGUGGGGAAUAUUGCACAAUGGGCGCAAGCCUGAUGCAGCAACGCCGCGUGAGGGAUGACGGCCUUCGGGUUGUAAACCUCUUUUAGCAGGGAAGAAGCGAAAGUGACGGUACCUGCAGAAAAAGCGCCGGCUAACUACGU
rnacentral:rRNA from 1 species